AUACCACCCUGAACGUGCCCAAUCUCAUCUGAUCUCGGAAGCUAAGCAGGGUCAGUCCUGGUUAGUACUUGGAUGGGUGACC
rnacentral:rRNA from 1 species